GUCGGGUUUUUAAUUACUGUACAAAAUUUCAGACAAUUUGGUUUAGUUUAAGCCCUUUAACUAUUCAUUUUGUUCUAAAAGGUCAGCCUUUCGCAUGCUUAAUUAAUGCCUUUACCUAAUUUGCAUAUUGCUGACAUAUGCAAAUUAGGCAAAUGCAUUAAUUAAGCAUGCAAAUAGCUGAUUUUUCGGGAAAAUUGUAACUUUGCG